UGCAUAGGAAUCUGCCCAGUAGCGGGGGACAACGUGUGGAAACGCACGCUAAUACCGCAUACGCCCUACGGGGAAAGCGGGGACCGUUCGGGCCUCGCACUAUUGGAUGAGCCUAUGUCUGAUUAGCUAGUUGGUAGGGUAAAAGCCUACCAAGGCGACGAUCAGUAGCUGGUUUGAGAGAAUGAUCAGCCACACUGGGACUGAGACACGGCCCAGACUCCUACGGGAGGCAGCAGUGGGGAAUAUUGGACAAUGGGCGCAAGCCUGAUCCAGCAAUGCCGCGUGUGUGAAGAAGGCCUG
rnacentral:rRNA from 1 species